GGGCCCGGCAGAGCGUGGGGCGGCGCGUGUUGACAGCGGCGGCGUUGGAGCCUGGCGGGCGGCGGGAGUCGGCGCUUCGGGUUCCUGCCUCGCGUCCCUGGGCGGCGGCGGCCGGGCGUCCCGGGAUGGCCUUCAUGGAGAAGCCGCCAGCCGGCAAGGUGCUGUUGGACGACACGGUGCCGUUGACAGCAGCCAUCGAGGCGAGCCAGAGCCUGCAGUCCCACACGGAAUAUAUCAUUCGGGUGCAGAGAGGAAUUUCUGUGGAAAACAGCUGGCAGAUUGUUAGAAGAUACAGUGACUUUGAUUUGCUUAACAACAGCUUACAGAUUGCAGGCCUAAGUCUACCUCUUCCUCCCAAAAAAUUGAUUGGUAACAUGGAUCGUGAAUUCAUAGCUGAGAGGCAGAAAGGUCUUCAGAACUAUCUCAACGUGAUCACCACAAAUCAUAUAUUGUCUAAUUGUGAGCUGGUUAAGAAGUUUUUAGAUCCAAACAAUUAUUCCGCAAACUACACUGAGAUUGCCUUACAACAGGUUUCCAUGUUCUUCCGAUCAGAACCAAAGUGGGAGGUGGUGGAACCUUUGAAAGACAUAGGUUGGAGAAUAAGGAAGAAGUAUUUCUUGAUGAAGAUUAAAAAUCAGCCAAAGGAACGGCUAGUGUUAAGCUGGGCUGACCUUGGCCCGGACAAGUAUUUGUCAGAUAAAGAUUUUCAGUGUCUAAUCAAACUUCUGCCUUCCUGUUUGCACCCUUACAUCUAUCGGGUUACCUUUGCCACAGCUAAUGAAUCCUCAACGUUGCUAAUUAGGAUGUUUAACGAAAAGGGAACUUUGAAGGAUCUGAUCUACAAGGCAAAACCGAAAGACCCAUUUCUAAAGAAGUACUGCAACCCUAAGAAGAUUCAGGGCCUGGAACUCCAGCAAAUAAAGACAUAUGGACGGCAAAUAUUAGAGGUACUGAAGUUUCUUCAUGACAAGGGAUUCCCUUAUGGGCAUCUUCAUGCCUCCAAUGUGAUGCUCGAUGGGGACACUUGCCGGCUGCUAGACCUUGAGAAUUCCUUAUUGGGCCUGCCUUCCUUCUACCGAUCUUAUUUUUCACAAUUCAGAAAAAUCAAUACAUUGGAAAGUGUGGAUGUCCACUGCUUUGGCCACUUACUGUAUGAAAUGACUUAUGGACGACCGCCAGAUUCGGUGCCUGUGGACUCCUUCCCUCCGGCCCCGUCCAUGGCUGUGGUGGCCGUGUUGGAGUCUACGCUGUCUUGUGAAGCCUGUAAAAACGGCAUGCCUACCGUCUCCCGGCUCUUACAGAUGCCAUUAUUCAGCGAUGUUUUACUAACCACUUCUGAAAAACCACAGUUUAAGAUCCCUACAAAGUUAAAAGAGGCAUUGAGAAUUGCCAAAGAAUGUAUCGAAAAGAGACUAAUCGAAGAACAGAAACAGAUUCACCAGCAUCGAAGACUGACAAGAGCUCAGUCCCACCAUGGAUCUGAGGAGGAAAGAAAAAAAAGAAAGAUUUUAGCUCGAAAGAAGUCAAAACGAUCUGCUCUUGAAAAUAGUGAAGAGCAUUCAGCGAAGUACAGCAACUCCAAUAAUUCAGCAGGAUCUGGGGCCAGCUCACCUCUCACAUCCCCGUCAUCGCCAACUCCACCCUCUACAUCAGCAUGCACCAUUUUGAACGUGAAUUUUCGGGCCUUUGAUGGACUGCCAGGUUCCCAUGUGGCUUGAUGGAGAGGAUUUUGGGGAGAGUGGAGUAAGUAGUUGGCUCUCCAGGAUUUUGUCUAAGAGAAAGUGAGAUGGGAGAAAUCAGGACUGACCUAAUCAUAACAGAAGGUAAGCUGUUUGGAGCAUCCCCCAUCCUGGACACAAAUUCAGGUAUCAUCAGUUUAACAUGGAAUCGGUCUGCUCUUGUAUGUGGCCUGGAGAUAAGGGUAUUGGAGGCCUCUUGGCAGGAGGGACUCAUUCGUAUUCUAGGUGUGAAGAGAGCGCAGGCAGCAGGCAAUUGUUCCCAGGUUUGUCACAGGCCAAAUGGUCAACUUUCAUUUGGCCCUGUUGCCCCUGUCCCCUCUUACCUCCAUUGUUAGCCACGUGUUGUAGCUGAAGCCCCAGUGGACCUUUCAGGAAGCUUGUAGACCAUGGCAAGGGCCGAAAGGAAAAGCCAAAAACAAUCAAUGGUGUGGACUGAGUGAGAGUGAGUCCCAGGCCUGUGUUCCUGCCUUCUCGUUUUCACCUUCUGACUCCCAGACCUCCUCUCCCCUGUUCCAAACUGAAAAGUUGGGUUUGGCCUCUUUGCCCUGGUUGUACCCAAGAGCCACCAUGGUUGUUGCAGGCCCAGUGAGGAAAAGCAGACCUGCUGGGACAUCAAGCCCCACUGGACUGCUCGGGAUGGCUGGGGCCACAUCAGGGAGAUCCUGCUGCCUGUCCUUUCGUUCCAUUUGUUUUACAUGCACAGGUUUCCCUGGAGCUCUUUGGACAGCAUAUUUAUUUACACCACCUACAUUUUCAAAGAGACUCAUUUAAAGUGACAAUGGUUUCAGCCUUUACUUGGACCACUCCCAAACUCUGCGGUGGUGCAUUUGCACUUCUAAUUUUGAGGGCCUGGUAAUGAGGCCAAAACCAAGGGUUGGUUCUCUGUGAGACCAAGCAGUUUUGUUCUGUGCCAAGAUGGCAGGCCCUACCCCAUCUCCAGCCUCCCAGAAUCCUUGCCUGGAGGGCUGGUCCAUCUCUAGAUGGUCAGUGCUGUGCCUUUAGUUGAACUCCCAAGUAGAACUCCCUCGCCUACUGCUGCAGCUGAGAACCUGUCCUUAACUGUGCAGUGAUUCUUCUGCCAGGGGUCAAAGCACAAACCUGGGAAGCAGAAACCCUGGAGCUCCUUCUGUUACACACUGGGCCCUGAUAUCAAGUCCAGAUUCCGCUGCCCUUUUCUGGCCAUUGGGUGGGAGGGUUCUAGGGAAGGGCAUUGGCACCUACUCACCCCCAAGUGGCAGAGCUCACUCCUCUGGGCCCCCUUGGUGCUGCAGUCAAGAGACUGAAUUCCAAAAGCCUUCAGCAGAGGUCUCCCUUCCUCCAGAAGUCAUCUUUAGAGGAAUGCUUAUCACAUAUGCUUAUUUUCUUAUUGUCCCUCCUCAACAGUCACCUCAGGUUUAAAGUCCUUCUUAUCUUUGUAACCCUGUGACAUAAAGCCAGGAACAUUUUCCCACAGUCCACCCUAGCAUAAAACAUAACAGAAUUUCAUUCAUCAGUUGUUAUUGUGUAGAACCAAUGAACAUAUUGGUCAUUUGUCUGUAUUUAACCUUUAUUUGUAUUGCUAUAUUUGAGCAUUGCAAGAUUGCAGAGCAUGAGCGUGUAUAUUUGUGUGAUUCUUUAAUUUCAGCUGCCUUAGGUUUGGGUAAAAGAUAUAAAGAAAGGGAUAUCUGCAUUACCUCCACCUCCUCCACCUCUACCACCACCAGCAGCUCCCUUGCCUCCUGCGAGCACAGAGGCACCUGCCCAGCUCUCGCCCCAGGCUGAGAAUGGCG